rnacentral:tRNA from 1 species
AGGGGAUUAGCCUAGUGGCUAGGCAGUGGAUUCCAAAUCCAUCUAGAGAGGUUCGAUUCCUCUAUCCCCUG